rnacentral:lncRNA from 1 species
UCACACAAAACAUCGAUGGCUGAGAAGAUCAAACAACAACUUCUAAGCAACACGGUACCUAUCCAAUGGAUCUUUGAAAAUGAUGCGUUCAUGGUACACUCUCCAAGCAUAGUCCUCAAAAUCAAAAGAGUUGAACACCCUCUUCUCUAGUUCUUCACCACCAUCAUUGCUUUCUUCAUCAACUUCUUCUUCCUUUUGUUCCUUGUUGCAGGUUGCCUUGGGAAGGAGUGGAGCCACUCUGCUAUCUGUUGGAAGAGUUAUCAGCAAUGACAUUGUUAUGCAGCGUGAACCAUUUUCAUCUCCCACUGUGGCCAUUGGUCUGCCUCUCACUUUCUUUAACUUGCCAUUGCUCCACAUCUGCACAGUAAUUGUUUAAAUUCAUAUAGUAUCCCACUUUAUAAAUGCAUCACCCCUAGGAUUAAUGUAAUGUGCUCUUCAAAAUAAAAUAAUUUAUAAAAAAAGAUACAUGAUAGUAUGAUACAAAAUUGAACAAAUAAUGAAUCUUAUAAACUUUUUAAGAAAUAUGAAACCAACUACUAAGAAACUAAGGCAUCACACACACAAAAACACUUAUGGGGCAUUGUAUAUGAUUUUUUUCCUCCAUAUGAAAUUGAAUUCAUCUUCUAUUCUUAGGAAAUGAUGUGUGGUAUAACAUUUGAGAUUUGAGGCUUUUGCCUAGUCCACUUUUUCUGAGCUGAAUUGAAGAUUUUUCUAAAUGAAAAAUGAAGAACAGACACACCCUGACAUAGGGACAUUGCUACACAGUGCAUUGUGAUCCACCUUGCUAAAGAAGGGGGCCCAACCAACAUAAAUUAUCUGCAGGAUCAAAAUCAGAAUUUGCAUGCCAAAAUGUAUGACCGAAAAGAACAAUGAUUACUUUAUGCAUACGUAAUAAAAUAUUUUAAUUAUAACUUCAUUAUCAG